GGAGAGAGGACUACGAUUUGAGACAAAAAUGAAAACACGCUGAAACCAUGCAGCAACUCAUAGUGCACCUUUAAAAGAAGUAAAAUCUGCAGAUGGUCACCUUUAAAUUUAACUUGGAGAAGCCUGAAGGUAGCCUGAGCUUCCUCUGUAACUUAGUGAAACAUUUCUGCUUUGAAGAAAUGUUUCUGCGUUGAAACUGAAUCCAGUAACUAGUUUCCAACGUUACAUUCAAGACAUUCGGUGGGUUAACAGUAGCCUGACAUGGGUUAGGGUUAGGGGGAGUCUAGAUUUCUAGGCUAGGGUAACAGUAUGACGCAGACAACAGGAGAAUCUCAGCUGUAAAUGUAGCGUGAUUCCCGUCAGGUACCAGGGACUGGAUGGAUGAGUCUUUCCUUGAGUAAGAGUUGCAAUAAGACAAAUGUAAAAA